rnacentral:rRNA from 1 species
CAGCACCUCAAGUGGUCAGGAGGAUUAUUGGGCCUAAAGCAUCCGUAGCCUGUUCUAUAAGUUUCCGGUUAAAUCCACUAGCUCAACUAGUGGGCUGCCGAAAAUACUGUGGAACUAGGGAGUGGGAGAGGUAGACGGUACUCGGUAGGAAGGGGUAAAAUCCUUUGAUCUAUUGAUGACCACCUGUGGCGAAGGCGGUCUACCAGAACACGUUCGACGGUGAGGGAUGAAAGCUGGGGGAGCAAACCGGAUUAGAUACCCGAGUAGUCC